AACACAAAACCUAAGUAGAGAAAAUACUCAAAGGGAGUAAAGAUGAUCAGCAAGUCUAGGCUCCACAACAAUUUCUAAUGGUAUUUUCUUAGGUGUAGAAAGCCCAAAAAUCUCCUCCAUAUUCAAAUCCUCCUUUUUCACAUUAUUAGGUAAUGUCCAAUUAAAUCCAUGCAACAAAUUAGCCAAACUUGUUUGAAUCACCUUAAUACCAAGAGGGUAACCAGGACACAUCCUUCUACCAGCACCAAAUGGUAACAACUCAAAAUCAUGUCCUUUUACAUCUAUAUCUUUACCAAGAAACCUCUCAGGCAUAAAUUCAUAUGGAUUCUCCCAAACCUCAGAAUCUCUUGCAAUUGUCCAAGUAUUGACAAGAACUAUAGUCCCUUUGGGAAUAUCGUAACCAUCAACUUUGCAAUCCUCUCUAGCUUCUCGUGGCACUAAAAAUGGUGCCACGGGAUGUAGCCUCAUUGUUUCUUUAGCAAUUGCGUAAACAUAAGGUAAAUUCGCAAUGUCUUUCUCUUCAACCCAUCUAUCUUUUCCUAUCACUCUAUCUAGCUCCUCGGUUGCUUUCUUGAAGAUCUCUGGUUUUCUAACCAGCUCGGAGAUUGCCCAUUCUACUGUUACUGCGGAGCUCUCCGUCCCUCCGGCAAUUAAGUCCUGAGGAAAAAAAAUACAUAACAAAUAAGUUAGCACAUGAAAAAAUUUAAAUCGUUAAAAUGUGUCAGGUCGGACCAACCCAUUUAACAAGAGCAAAAUUUAGAGUUGUAUAUGCUAGUAAUUUUCGUCUGUCUUCUAAAACUAAUUUGUGUAUCUCUUAAAUCGAUGGAUUCAUUGAGCUAGCACAACAAAACAUACUUAAUUAGGUUAAACUUGGCACCACUUGUAUAAUUAGUAAAUAAAAAAUAUACAGACAUAAGGGUAACAAAUGUGGCAAGAUAAGAGCAAGUUAAUUUAGUUAGCCCCACGAAUACAAUAUAUUGAAUAAAUAAGUGAUAUUUGGAGCUAUCAAGCAAAACUGGAAUUGCGUUAAACAGUUAAUCUCUAAAUUAUGGUUUGGAUUUUUGUUUUAGAAAUAUGACUUUUCAACUUCCCAUCAUUUCCACGAAGAUGCAAGCAUCAAUUGGACCACCCACCCAUGCACUAAGGAUAAUAAUUUCUAUUUUGAAAAAUUGACAUGAUAUUUAUUUAAUACUUAAUAGUAUUAUUUAGGUGGAUUGUCUAAUCAUUGAAAAAAGUAAUUUCAUAAUUAAACAAAGGAGUAUUCUCAAUCAUAAACGUAACCACCUAAAAGAAAAUACCACACCAAAAAAGAACUAAAGAAAAUAAAAGAUUCAAUCACUUCAUACCUGAGUAAAAGCUUUGACUCCAUGCCUCUCCAGUUUGACUUCAAGAUUAGGAUCCUCAGCAAGCUGCAAAAGUACAUCCACCAUAUCUUUAGCAACAUAAUCCUUCACAUUUUUCCUUCUUUCAAUGUGUUCUUCCAAUACAUGUUCCAUAAACCUAUCAAACUUUUUACUCAAAGUCUUCAUCCUCUUCACAUAACCUUGCAAGUCUAAGAAAUGAAUCCAAGGAAUAAAAUCCCCAAUAUUGAGAAUUCCAUUAAGUAAAAACAACUCAUCCAACAUCUUCUUAAACUCAUCAGGGGAAAUAACUGCAUUAUCAGUCUUUUCCAAGUACUUUUUCCCUAGCACCAUUCGACUUAUAACAUUUAGACUCAAAGUUGAAAGAUGGUCUUUCACCAAAAUUGUUUUGUUUUUUGAAUUGAAAAGUUUAUGCAAAAAAUCAUGCAUCUCUUGUUUUCUUAUGUACUCGUAAGACUCGAGGCGUUUUGCACUAAACAACUCCAAUAGACACAUUCUACGAGCUUGACGCCAAUAUGGACCAUAUUGAGACCAAGUUAUGUCUGAAUAGUUAUAUGUUGUGUAUUUUCCAGCCGACAAUUUGGGCCGGCCGGCAAGAGUAGCAUCAUGGGUUUUGAGGAAUGAUUUGGCUAGUUCUACGGUGGCGCCCACAAUGACGGGUUUCGAGCCGAAAUAUAGAUGCAUGAUGGGUCCAUAUUUUUGAGUGAGGCCAUGGAGGGAUUGAUGUGGGAGGGAUCCGAUAAGGUUGAGAUUUCCAAUUAUAGGCCAUGGUUUUGGGCCUGGUGGUAGAUUGUAUUUGUGGCGGCGGAGGCGGCGGCUGAAGAGGAGGAGGAUGACAAAUGUUGCAAACAAUGUGACCCAACUAGGAAGUUCCAAUAAUUGCACUGGCUCCAUAAUUGGUCGAUUUUGUGACUUUCUUUUGGUGUGAAAUUAGAGAGGGUUAUGUGAGUGAGUUUGAAGGGUGUGUGUGGGUCAUUAUUUAUAUGCAUGUGAUAGUGAGAAAGCAAUAGCUCGAGGACCCACAUGAGGUUCAACAAACUUUCCAUCAAUACACAUGUUUCUUGGUGAUCGGGCAUGUAUAAGGGACUAUUUUUCCACUCACAUGAAUCAAAUAAUACUACUCUAAUCAAUAAACAAAGCUUAACGAAGACUCCAUUCAUACAUAUAAAGUUGUUUUUAUUCGAACUCAUAUUUUUCGGAACGACUCCUUGUUAACAAAAGUUUAUUAAACAACAAUAUUUACUUAAUUAUCUCCAAAUAUUUUUGCCAACAAUCUCCAAAUGUUUUUAUAGGCAAAAUUCAAAUAUAUGUGUUAGUGAAACUCAAUGUUCAAAUUAAGGAAAUUAAAAGUAGACAUGACAACAUGAACCACACUCGCUUGAACCCAUUUGAGUUAGUCUCGACUUUGAUGGAAAAUCCUCCCUUUAAUUGGGCGAGGGUGUGGGAUUUAUCUAUUAUUCUAAAUUAGGGUUAUGAUGUUGAUAUCUUCUUCGGAGCUGUCUCAUUAGUAAAAAGUAUUUUUUCAGAUACAUAUAUUUAUUCAUUUUAUUUAAUAUUUAUUUAAUUAUAUAUUGUAAAUUUUAAUUUCUUCUUGAUAGAAAAUAUAAUUUUAAUAUAAUUUUAUUGUAUAUAUCUAUGUCAGGAAUGCAGUGGUAGAGGGAGGAGUGGCCCCUAAGUUCUAUGGCCACCAUCAUUUAUUUUUGAGAGGACCACCAUAAAAUUUUAAAUUUUACUUUUAACACUCAAGAUAGAUAAACUAUAAAACAUUAUGAGCAUGUAACUUUAAAAGUCCCAAUGGUGCAAUUCAACAAGAGUAUGUUGCCACAUUGCCACCUGUCAAACAAUUAUUUCAGGAAGUAACAAUGCCGCCACAUUGUCGAUCUUUUGUUGAACUCUAGUGUCCUUAAGCUUCAUGUAUUGUUAUAAAAUUAUUUACUUAAACGUAGAAAACAUACAUCAUGUCCACUAACUUAUUCUGAUAAAUAUAAAUUAAUUAGGUAUAACUAACCCAUUCAACCUUAUUUUUACAAUAGUAACUUAUAUUAAAUUUAAGGUCAUCUUGUCCGUUUGCAAGCAGGAUCCUGGCAAAUCGAUAAAACUUUAUUUGUUAAAACAAGAAUAAGUGGGCCCAUCUAAAAUAAUUGAAGAGUAAGUGGAAGACAAUUGACCUGUAUAUUUUGAUCUUUCAAAAAUAAUUUCGAGUUGCCAAACUAAAAUGGACUCACUGCCUAUUGUUUCUUGGAUUGUUGCCAUUGCAAUUUCACAGAAAUUUCAAUAUUGAUUUAUUGACUUAGAAUUUGCAAAGUAGUUUAUUCCAUUGACCUUGACUCUUGACUCUUGAGUCUACAUUCACAUAGUGUAACGGUGUUAUUUCUUGUUCAUACUCGGCGGUCUCAUAAACUUUGUCAUGUUAGGUUGUGUAUAACCCUAACUAAUUACAGUCUCUAAUAUACUAUUUUUUAUUAUGAAUAGCCAAAACUAUGAUUAGAUAAUGCAAAAUAUAGAAGAAUAUAGAUAAAAUAGACAAGAAAUAAGAAUAAAAUAUUUGCUUUAUACUCCUUAAGUCCGGUGUCUCUUUACAAUGCAAUGAGUCCUAUUUUUAAGACAUAAACCUUAUAGGUUACAAGUAAGUGAAAAAUCACAUUGAAGACAAUUAACGAUUAAUAGGUCAUCCACUCAUGAAAAUUCUUGAUCAUACUAGUGGAAGACUAAAGAAAACGGGCAUCCACAAAUACAUAUGUUUAAAACACACCCCUUCAAUGAAACCUGGUACAUACAUAGUACGGGUGUGAGUAAGAUAUGUAUGUUUAAAUAUGUAUAAAAUUUAAAAUUCAAGAUACGAUACACCUAAGAAACAUUAAUGAAUUUUUUAUCUUAAAAUUUAUAUGCAUGUAAAAUAUUUGAAAGAAAUAAGCAUCGAUUAAUCUUCAUUAAUAUAUAAUUAUAAAAUUACAAAUUAUAAAGCGAAACUCAUCAACUUUGCUUUUAACUACCAAAUGUGGUGGCUCAAUCUCUUUUAUGUUUGUGAUUGUUUCUUUGCUUUCUUGUUGGUGAUUUUCACCUAUUCUGAUGUAACAUUACUUUUUCUUUGUUUCUCUCUAGCACUCCUUGUGCAAAGAAAGUAAAGUCAUUUAGUUAUAUGUAAUUCUAUUAUAGCUUCUUAAAAAAAAGGGUAAUUUAAGUUUUUGGUCCCUAUAAAUAUCUGCAGUUUUGUUUUUAAUCCCUAUAAAAAUAAAUCACACUUUUUUAGUCCCUACAACAUUUUCCGUUAGUGUUUUUAGUCCCUGUUAAAUUAAAAUUUGUUUAAUUAUGCUUUAAAUUUUAAAUUUUUUAAUGUUUUUUUACAUAGUUGUUUAAAACAUUAUACAAGGUUCCGCCACAAUAAAUUAGCUCAAAAUUUUAUUUUUAGGUUCAAAUUUUUGUUAGUUUUAUCUUGAAUUUUUGGCGUUUUAAAAAAAUUAUAUUUAAUUUAUUACAUGUUAAAAAAUUCUAAUUUUUUAUAAAAGAGAUUAUUAUAAUGUUCUUAACAUGUCUGUUAAAAAUCAUUUAAAAAUAUAAAAGUUUAAGUAUAAUUAAACAAAUUUCAAUUUAACAGGAACCAACACAUACUUUUAGUCCUUGUAAAAUUAAAAUUUGCUUAAUUGUGCUUAAACUUUUAAAUUUGUAACAUAUAUUUUUCACAUACUUACUUAGAAUAUUAUACAAAGUUUCUCCGCAAAAAAGUAACUUAAAAUUUUAUUAUUAGGUCCAAAUUUUCAUUAAUAUAAUCUUGAAAAUUUGGCUUUUAGAAAAAGGCUAAAAUAUGGUUUUGGUCCCUGCAAAUAUGUCUCGUUUUGGUUUUAGUCCCUGCAAAAAAAGAUUGUUGUUUUUAGUCCCUGCAAAUAUGCCUCAUUUUGGUUUUGGUCCCUGGCUCCACUUUUGUGAUGAUUUGCACACGUGGCACAUGAUGACUGAACCCAUUUAUUAGAGAAAUAGUCUCUGCAAAAUCUUUUGAUUUUGAAAAAGGUCCCUGCAAAAUAUUUUGUUUUUGGAAAUAGGCAGGGACUAUUUCCAAAGACAAAAUAUUUUGCAGGGACCAAAAACAACAAAUUUUUUUUACAGGGACUAAAACCAAAACGAGGCAUAUUUGCAGUGACCAAAACCAUAUUUUAGCCUUAGAAAAAUUUAUAUUUAAUUCAUUACAUGUUAAAAAACUAAUUUGUUUUACAAAAGAGUGUCUUACGAUGUUAUGAACAUGUUUGUAAAAAAUCUUUCAAAAAUUUAGAAGUUUAAGCAUAAUUAAACAAAUUUUAAUUUAACAGGGACUAAAAACACUAACAGAAAAUUUUGUAGGGACUAAAAAGUGUAUUUAUUUUUAUAGGGACUAAAAACAAAACUGCAGAUAUUUAUAGGGAUCAAAAACUUAAUUAAUCCUAUAAGUAUUCGAUAAAAUAUUUUAAAAAUUAAUUUUGAUAUUUCGUAUGCAUGUAUCAGUGAAUAUCCGCAAAGUAUUAAUAUCUAAUAUGGAUAUAUCUCCAUAUUUGAUGUAUUUAGCUUCAUAAAUCUCCCUUAUAUGUCAAUUGCGAAUGUGCAUCGUUAGAAUCUUAAAAAAAAAAAACUCAAUUAAACAAUAAUCUUACUGAAGAAAAAAAAGAGCAGCAUCUACCUCCUCUACAUAAAAACACGUGUCAUUAAAAACCUUACUUGAAAAUUCAAUGAGAAUGUAUGUGUUUCUCCCAAUAUCAACUAUACUGUAAUCUCUUCGAUGACAAAACUGUUAAAAAGACUGUUGUAGUCAGAUGCUUGUAGAGGUUGGUAAUAGUCAGGUUCCUCGACAAGGCACUUUUGAUCAAAACUGUUAAAAAAGAUCAAAGUUUGUACUGUUGAUGGUACGAUGAGACUAGAGCAAAAACAAACAUGUUUCUUGGACCGAACAGUAAAUGGAGUCUGGCAUGACUUUGACAAGUAAUACACCUUCCGUUUUAAAACGAGUAACGUUUAAGAUUUUUAUAUACAAAUUAAGAAAUAUAAUAAUGAUGUUAAAAAAUAUGACAAUUUUACUAAACUAAUACUAUUUACCAUUGGUGCAAGUUUUUGGAAGUAAUGUAUAUUUAAUUAAUUAGAGAGUACAAUUGGAAGUAAAAUAAUAAUUCUACAUUAAAAAGUGUAACUGACAUUCAUUUUAAAAUAAUUUUAUUUCGCUAAAACGAUACUCAUUUUAAAAACUGAGUGAGUGUAAAACAUUUGGAGAGGUGGUUACUAUAAUCGUAGCUUAGUUAGAUGGUUAUAGUGGUUUAAAUUGGAUUAAAUCUUUUAUAGUGGUUUAAAUAUUAAAGAUGGUAGAAUCUCUCUUUUAUAUAGUGGAGAACUUUAGAUAUAACAAUAAUUGAUAGUGAACCAAUGUAAAAAUAUGUUUUCGGUGGCGGAGUCAGAAAAAAAAGUUUGGGUGGGCCACAAAAAUUAUCCGUUGAAAAAUUGUUUAAAGUCUUGCAAAAUAGACAUAUAAUUGAAUUGUUUAAAUUUUUGGGUGGAUCACUACACCACUUUGCGGGAAUUUAGAUUAACCGAAAACUGAUAUAAAAUUUUAUAAAAUCUCGCAAAAUAGACCUAUAAUUGAAUAUUUAAAUUUUUCGGGUGGGUCACUACAUCACUUUUCGGGAAUUUGGAUCAACCGAAAUCUAAAACCGACACAAAAUUGUAUAAAAUCUCGCAAAAUAAACCUAUAAUCGUUGAUUUUUUAAUUUUUCGGAUGGGCCACAACCAUUGUGUUCUUCUUUUCCAUUUCUCUUUUUAUCUUUGUAUUUUUUUUAAUGUCUUUAAAAAUGUUUUUCAUCGAAGUCUUUUAAAUUAAGGAUUAACUGAUAGUUUAAAGAAGAAAAAUAGUCUACACAAUUCAAACUCAUUCAAUGUGUUUUCUAGCACAUUCCCUUCUAUGCAAUAAGGAAUGUCACAUAGUUUUUUUUCUAUCCGUAGUUUCUAAGAAAACAAAUAUAAGAGUACCAAAUGGAUUCCAUCAAAAAACAAAAAACAAGAGAGAACAUAAUAUACUUUUUUUUUAAUAUUACAACUUUUUUUUUUUUGGUGUCCAAGGCUCGAAUCCUGGACCUUACGUAUAUUAUGUAUUGUCCCUUCCAACUGAGUUAAGCUUACGGAGACAAAUAAUAUUACAACUCUGAAAAGGGACUCAUUUUUCUUUGACAAAAUCAAGGGGACUCAUUACUAACUUCAACAUUCAAACACCAAUAUUUUUUAUUCACAGUCAUGCUUGUUUUUUUUCUUGUCAUUAAGUUAAUGACAUUGAACUCACACAAAUCCCAUUAUUCCCAAUCUUAUUAAAGAAAAAUUCUUAGAGGGAGUAAAGAUGAUGAGGAAGUCUAGGCUCCACAACAACUUCUAGUGGUAUUUUCCUAGGAGUAGUCAGCCCAAAAAUCUCCUCCAUAUUCAAAUCCUCUUUCUUCAUAUCAUUAGGUAAUCUCCAAUUAAAUCCAUGCAACAAAUUAGCCAAACUUGAUUGUAUCACCUUAAGACCAAGAGGAUAACCAGGACACAUCCUUCUACCAGUACCAAAUGGCAACAACUCAUAAUCAUGUCCUUUUACAUCUAUAUUAUUACCAAUAAACCUCUCAGGUAUAAACUCAUAUGGAUUGUCCCAAACAUUAGGAUCUCUUCCAAUUGUCCAAGUAUUGACAAGAAUUAGAGUCCCUUUUGGGAUAUCAUAACCAUCAACAUUGCAAUCCUCACUAGCUUCUCUUGGCACUAACAAUGGUGCUGCAGGAUGAAGCCUCAUUGUUUCUUUAGCAAUUGCAAAAACAUAAGGUAAAUUGACAAUGUCUUUCUCUUCAACCCAUCUAUCUCUUCCUAUUACUUUGUCUAGUUCCUCCGUAGCUCUCUUGAUAAUCUCUGGCUUUUUCACAAGCUCGGAGAUUGCCCAUUCUACUGUUACUGUAGAUGUAUCUGUCCCACCUGCUAUUAAGUCCUACGAAAUAGAUAUAUAACAUAUGAUAUUGGUAUAGUCUUGUUUAGAUAAAUAGGUUAAUUGAGCAUCUAUGUAUAUAAGCAUUUAUAAGUGGGGUGCCAUUUAAUUUGGGAAAACACACUUUUUUCCUAUCAUGGGAAAGUUAAACCAAGACCAUAGAUUUAAUACUUUUUAAUUUGGAUGGCUCAUAUUCAUUACCUGUUAACUUUUUGAUGGGUUAUAUAAAACAAAAAUUGUGACCCCACCUCAUAAUUAAAUAACAUUUUCUUUUUUGUAUGUAGUAGUGGGCUUUGGCAAUAAUUUUUGGGCUUGUUAGUAAUGUUUGGGAUCAUACAUAUUAUUAUGUAUAUAAUGAAAAUGUUAACCUUACGUAUAUGGUAUUUAAAUUAGGGAAUAUGUAUUUUUUUUUUUGUUGAUACAAAGAAAAGAAAAUAAUUUUUUUUAUUUGAUUAAUGCUAAAAGGAAUUAUGAACCGAUAAAAAUGAUAGUUUAUUUGUAUGUUUGAAAAAAAACUGAUAAUCGAUUGAUUUUUAAGAAAAUGAUGUGUAAAUAAAAAAAAAACUUGGUGCAUUUUUCUUAAUUAAUAAUGUUAAUUACACAAAAAAGUAAAUCACAAUUUUUUAUUUUGUGGACUAAAUUAAACAGUACACAAUUGUUUUAAAAAAUAUGAGUUUGUUUUAGUCAUUGAACAUAAUAUCUCCUUUUUGUAAUUUGGGACAGGGUUACGGUUUGAAUGAUCAUCUUAGACAAAACCAUUUCGUUUAAGAUUGAGAAGAAUAUUUUUGUAAAUGGUAAUUAAUACAAUAUGGUACUUUUUAGUAACAAAUUAAUUUCAAGAAGAAUAUUUUUGUAAAUGAACGUACCACAUAAUGCCAAUUUUUAGUAACAAAUUAAUUGAGAAGAAUAUUCUUUCAAUCAUGGUUUUUCUUUUAUACAAAAAAUUGUAAAUAUAAUUACUGGUUACAUCGUUGAUUAGGCUGCCGUUAAUAUAAUUGUAAUUUUUGAUAAUCUGUUAAAAUAUAGUCAGUAUUAAUCAAUCAGUUUUGUGGUGUAAUGCGGAAAUGGGGAGGUGCAGUAGUAAGUUUGGAAAGAACAUUAAAAUAAUAAAUUGAGUUUUUUUUGUUUUUUUUUUUUGCAAGUUAAAAACCGACAAGUGUCCUUGGUAAAGAGACUUUCCCAUGGUGGAAAAAAAGUCUUCUUUCUCAAAUUAAAUUGCACCUAUAAGUGGAUAUAUAAAAUAAAGUCAAACUGAUUUCACAUAAACUAUAUAAUGUUAUCAUAAUUAUGGAGUUGUGAAAAUAAGCCCAAAACAACUUAUAAACAUGUCAUAAUUUGUUCUCAUAUAGCUCUUUUAAAAAGUCUCACAUGUGUUUAUAUAAAUAAACUUAAAUAAAUCAAUCCAAAUAGACUUUAAGGUCAAUAUUAUAAAGACCCUAAUUCUAAUAUUUUGAAAGAGCACAAAUUUAUUAAUACAUGAAAUGGUUGAAAAAAUACUAAGAAACUUGUGAAUGCAAUACUUCCCCUGUCCAUAUAACUGUCUUAACAUUUUCCGAAAAAACGGCCUUAUCAUUUAUUAAUUCUUGUAAAAACAGUAAUUUUAAUUGAUGUUUUUCCGCUGUACCUAUCUUUUACAAAUUCCUUUGUACCUUGUACUAUUUCACUUACACAUUAUUUCAUACAGUUUGUGUUUAGGAUAAUGAGAAUGAUUAAUGAACCUGAUUCAAACCGUAACACGAACACUAGAAAAAACCGAAUAAAUAUUAUAGAAAAAUUGUGGGAUCCAUUUAAAAUUUUAGUAAAGUUUACUAUUAAAAUAAAAAUUGAAUGAAUUGCUUCAAAGUUAUGUGCCGAAGUGAACCCACUUAAAACCUAUAAAGGAAAGUCACUAAUGGAAAAUACCCAUAGUGGAAUAGUUAGAGGUUAAUAUACAAUAAAUAAUUAAUAUCAGUAGAAAUGACAAUUAUAUAUGAAACAAAUGAGAUACUUAAAAAACAUAUAAUUAAUAUUUUUUCUAACCUGAGUAAAAGCUUUGACUCCGUGCCUCUCAAGUUUGACUUCAAGACUAGGAUUCUCUGCAAGCUUCAAAAGCACAUCCACCAUAUCUUUAGCAACAUAAUCAUUAACACAUUUCCUUCUUUCAAUGUGUUCCUCCAAUACAUGUUCCAUAAACCAAUCAAACUUCUUACCCAAAGUCUUCAUUCUCUUCACAUAACCUUGCAAGUCUAAGAAAUGAAUCCAAGGAAUAAAAUCCCCAACAUUGAGGACCCCAUUAAGCAAAAACAAUUCAUCUAACAUCUUCUUAAACUCUUCAGGGGAAAUAAUAGCAUUUUCACUCUUCUCCAAAUACUUUUUGCCCAAAACCAUGCGACUUAUAACAUUGAGACUCAAAGUUGAAAGAUGGUCCUUCAACAAAAUUGUUUUGUUUUUUGAAUUAAAUAGUUCGUGCAAGAAAGCAUGUAACUCUUGUUUUCUCAUGUACUCAUAAGACUCAAGGCGUUUUACACUAAACAGUUCUAGCAGACACAUUUUACGAGCUUGUUGCCAAUAUGGGCCAUAUUGGGACCAAGUAAUGUUGGAGUAGUUAUAAGUAGUAUAUUUUCCAGCGGAGAAUUUGGGCCGCCCAGCAAGGACAGCGUCGUUUGUUUUGAGGAAAACUUUGGCUAUUUCUGGGCUCGAUCCCACAAUGACAGGUUUAGAGCCGAACCAUAAAUGCAUGAUGGGUCCAUAUUUUUUAGUGAGCCCGUGGAGGGAUUGAUGUGGAAGUGAUCCAAUAAGAUUGAGAUUUCCUAUUAUGGGCCAUGAUUUUGGGCCAGGUGGUAGAUUGUAUUUACGGCGGUGGAGACGAAGACGGCGGCGGGUAAAGAGAAGAAGGAUGAUAAAUGUUGUAAAAAAAGUAACCCAAUUAGGAAGUGGCAAUAAUUCUACUACCAUUUCUAGUGAGUUUUGUGACUUUGUUUUGGUGUGAGAUUAGAGAGUGACUGUGAUGAAAUUAGAGAGUCAUUUAUUUAUAAUCAUAGUAGAGAAAGCUGUAGAUGAGGAUUACAUGGCCCCGUGAGUAGUGAGGCAAAAUAUCUCCAAUAGAUACACCUCUUUAUAAUCAAAUAUACUUCAUUUUCAAGCUUGUUUAAUUAUUAAACUUUAACGUAUUCAUUUAUUAAAACAAAUGGGUUCAAUCAAUGAGCAAUAAAAUAUACAUUAAUUUCUUAAUUAGGUUUAACUAACCUGUUCAAGCUUUUAUUUUAUUACAACAUGAAAGUUAUCUUGUCGGUUUGCAAACAUUAUCUUGGCAAAUCCAAAAAACUUAGUUGUUAAAAAUCAAGAAUGAGUUGGCUUGUCCAAAAAUAAUAAUUAUUGGAAGGACCACAUUGACCUAUAUAUUCUACUUGGAAGCAGUAGCGUUGCCAGGACCCUAGAUUAAGAGGUUUAAAAUUUUGAACUUUAAAAUUUUAUCUUGAACAUGUAUUUUGCUUUAAUAUUAAUAUCUUAAUAUAUCAAAAUUACAAAUACGUUCAUAAAUAUCUCUUUUAUUCGUCAUUUUAACCAUCAAAUUAGUUUUAGAUAGUCAAUUUUAUCUUAGAAUAUAUUUUGUCAUUGUUCUAUUUAAUCUAUAAAAUUACUAAAAAAAAGAUGCACUAAAGAUGUAUUUGCAAUUUCAAUACUCUUACGAAGUAUGAUAAGAUAAGAGUGUCUCACACAUUUAGGAUCAAAAAAGUUGGUUGUGUAUUUAGAGACAAAAAUAAAAGCUAAAUAUUUAAAGGUAAAUGUAGUAAAAUCAUACUCCCUCCGUCCCAAAUUAUAUGACGUUUUGGGCAUUUCACACAUAUUAAGAAAUGUAAUUAAUAUUGUGUGGGAAAGAGAUAUUAUGAGUUGUUUUACAAAAUUGUCCUCAAUAAAUGAUAUGGGAAAGAUAAAUGAAGGAAUUGAAAGAAGAGAGAGUAAUAAAUAGUUAAGGAUAUAAUAGGAAAAGUAACAUUAAUUUUUCAUUGGUAUUGUAAAGCGACAUACAAUUUGGGACAAAUAUUUUUUCUAAAGUGACAUACAUUUUGGGACGGAGGGAGUAAAAGUUUUUGUGAAAAAUCACCCCUUGUCGUUGGUACGAUAUGCUAGGAUGUUACUCUUACAAUUUUUAUUUGAAUUAUUCGGAAAAUGUUCAAUAAAUAAUUUUGUGUAAUUGUCAUUUGUAAAUAUCAAACAAUAAAUAAAUGAAAUAACAUGAUUCAUACACUGGAAUGAUAGGAGACACCAACAUAAAGCGCCUCCUCAAGAAAAAGAAAAAAGGGAGAUAUUGUUAGAUAGAAAUUUAGAAGGUGUAGGGUUCUUUGACAAAUUUUCAAGGGGUUCAAGUAGUAAUAAAUUGAGAUUAUUGGUUCAAUGUUGAAAUUUUGAGGGUGUGCAAUUGCACCCCUGGAUUAAGUGUGGCUCCGCAAGUGGUUGGGAGGGAAAUUUUAGAGAGUUUUUUGAGGAGGAUUUUGUAGGAUUUGGGUCUAUAUUUUAUUAUAUAUUUUAAAUUUUAAAAAAUUGGAAGACUAAAAUAAUAUAUGAUCACAGGCAGAAAUAUUUUAUAACUUGCUUAAUUUAAAAAAGAAAAACCAAUCCACACGUCCUCCAUUCACCAAAAUCUUCCUCCCAAAUGGGAGUGAAUUCUGUCGAUUGCCCUCCUCAUGUUUCUUUCCACCUUUGAUUUUUUUUUACUUCCUAAAAUCUCUCUUUCUCUCCUUUAAAAUAAAUGAUGGAAAUUUUAAUGGACUUUCAAGUCACAUGAAAUGACUCAUCCCCCUCCCAAACAGACUCCAAUAGUGUGUUUGAUUGUGAGAACAAAUUGAAAAGAGAGAAAGGCGUAAGAAAGAGAGUGUAAAAAAAGAAAGAGCCGAGGAAUAGAGUAAAUUUAAUGUGUGACUUUGUGAAAAUAAAAUUGUAAUGUUAGAUGAAAUUUAAAACAUUGCAAGAAACAUUGUUGGAAAUAUAUUGUAUUAUAGUCUUUAACUCGAUUCUAAUGUUGGAAACAAAAAAUUGUAUUGUUUUGAAAAACCGUCCAAACCAAUCCAAUCCAAACCGCAUUAGUUUGGUUCGAAUUUUAUUUUAAAAGUCAACCGAACCAAACCAAACCGCAUGCAUUUUUAUCAUGCGGUUCAGAUGACUUUUAACCUCAUAACCGAACCAAACCACACAUAAAAAAAUUUCAUCAGCAUUUUUAGUCCUUGUAAAAAAAUUUCGUCAACAUUUUUGGUCCCUAAAAUGCUUAAAAAAAAUGUCACGGAAACUAAAAAAUGAUUUUAUUUUGUAGAGACUAAAAACAAAAUUCUUAUAUUUAUAAAGACCAUUUACUUAAUUAACCUUACAAUUCAAACCCAUUCAUUAUGUUUUCAAGCACCUUCCCUUCUAAGCAAUAAGGAAAAGUCACAUAAGAGUACCAAAUGCAUUCCAUCAAAAAACAAAAAACAAGAGAUAGCAUAAUAUAAUAUACUAUUAUUUAAUAUUACAAACUCUAUAACAACUACAUCCUUCAGUUACUAUUAUAAGCAAAAAUUCAUAUUUUAGGUUCAUUCAAUAAAUGAUGUAUGUGACCUACAUUAUAAAUCACAUACAUCAUUUAUUGAAUGAAUCUAAAAUAUAAAUUUUUGAUGGAAUAUACUAUUGCACUCAUUACUAACCAACUUUCCAACAUCGUAUAUUCUUCAUUAUUACGCUUGCUUUUUUCUUUCUUCUCUUGUCAUGAAGUUAAUAACAUUGAACUCACAAAAAUCCCAUUAUUCCCAAUAUUAUUAGAGAAAAAUACUUAGAGGCAAUAAAGAUGAUACGGAAGUUUAGGCUCCAAAACAACUUCUAAUGGUAUUUUCUUAGGUGUAGUGAGCCCAAAAAUCUCCUCCAUAUUUAAAUCCUCUUUUUUCAUAUCAUUAGGUAAUCUCCAAUUAAAUCCAUGCAACAAGUUAGCCAAACUUG
rnacentral:lncRNA from 1 species